rnacentral:lncRNA from 1 species
CUAACUCCAGUUAAUUAAUUAAUCAUUUGAGUUAAGAGUGUAAGUCAAAGUUAAAAGUCAAAUUGGGAGAAUUGCAUUUUCACCUUGAAUAUUAUUAUUUGGAAUAAUUGCAUUUUCACCUUGAAUAUUAUUAAUUGGGAGAAUUGCAUUUUCACCUUGAAUAUUAUUAAUUGGGAUAAUUGCAUUUUCACCUUGAAUAUUAUUAUUAUUAUUAUCUUUUGACACUUUAUUCAAGGUAUAAUAUUCCAAGGGGACAAAACACUAUUCAAGUUUGAAUUUAUACAAAGAUAAGAUUCUCCAACAAAACUCUAUCCAAGAAAAACACUAUUCAAGAUAAGAUCAAAGACAAAGCUUGGAUUUAUGUGAGAAAUCAAGGAGCCAUCCAUUGAAGAUCCAA